CUAACUUAGAACACACCGGAGCACCGUGCAACCAUCUCCAUGAGUGAUACUCAAGGGGUGCCCUUAGUAUAUAAGAGACGUGCUAAAGUGGCUCUGAGCUCCACAGCUCUGAGAGCCAGCUGCAUCCUUUCCCCUGCUGGAUGUUUAAGGAGGACCACUUGCUGGAACACAGAUGCCUGGAAUCCGCGAAGACACAAGCAAAAUAUCUCGACCGGGUGCCAGUGAUUGUGGAAAAAGUCUCAAGCUCUCAGAUUGUUGACACUGACAAAUGGAAGUAUCUAGUUCCAUCUGACAUCACUGUGGCUCAGUUCAUGUGGAUCAUCAGGAAAAGAAUCCAGCUUCCUUCUGAAAAGGCAGUCUUCCUGUUUGUGGAUAAGACAGUCCCACAGUCCAGCCUAACUAUGGGACAACUUUCCAAGAAGGAAAAAGAUGAAGAUGGAUUCUUGUAUGUGGCCUAUAGUGGAGAGAACACAUUUGGCUUCUGAGGGCCAGUGCUUGGCUAGGUGCACUGUACCUGCUUGUGUAUCUUAUAAAUAGUAGGCCGUUUUCAGUUAUUAUACCAGAAUCUCUUCACAUAGACCUAUUGGUGCAUUUGUAACUGGAUUGAUUUCUUAAUAUACUGGAAGAUUUUGUUUCCUUAGACUAGUACAUUAUACAGUUAAAAAAAAGAAAAAAAGAGAACCACUAAAGUGAGUUCUGGACCUGCUAAAGUGAGUUCUGCUCCAAGGGGUCCUCCAGCAGAUCCUCCUCUGUGCUCAGAGCCAGUCCUUUGCAGCCC